rnacentral:rRNA from 1 species
AUACGGAGGGUGCAAGCGUUAUUCGGAAUCACUGGGCGUAAAGGACGCGUAGGCGGGUUGGCAAGUCAGAUGUGAAAUCCUACAGCUUAACUGUAGAACUGCAUUUGAAACUGCUAACCUAGAGUAUGGGAGGGGGAGAUGGAAUUAGUGGUGUAGGGGUAAAAUCCGUAGAUAUCACUGGGAAUACCGAAAGCGAAGGCGAUCUCCUGGAACAUAACUGACGCUAAGGCGUGAAAGCGUGGGGAGCAAACAGGAUUAGAUACCCUAGUAGUCC